GUAGUUAGCCGGGGCUUUCUCCUUGGCUACCGUCACUUCUUCGUCACCAAGAACAGAGGUUUACAAUCCGAAAACCUUCUUCCCUCACGCGGCGUUGCUGGGUCAGGCUUGCGCCCAUUGCCCAAUAUUCCCCACUGCUGCCUCCCGUAGGAGUCUGGACCGUGUCUCAGUUCCAGUGUGGCCGAUCAGCCUCUCAGCUCGGCUACCCAUCGCGGACUAGGUGGGCCGUUACCCCACCAACUGCCUAAUCGGCCGCGAGCCCAUCCUAAAGCGGAUUUCUCCUUUGACCCCUGUGCCAUGCGACACUGUGGUCUUAUGCGGUAUUAGCGUCCGUUUCCAGACGUUAUCCCCCUCUUUAGGGCAGGUUGCUCACGUGUUACUCACCCGUUCGCCACUAACUCGGCCCCGAAGGGCUUCGUUCGUUCGACUUGCAUGUGUUAAGCGCGCCGCCAGCGUUCGUCCUGAGCAGAUACAACUACUGA
rnacentral:rRNA from 1 species